UACGUAGGUGGCAAGCGUUGUCCGGAAUUACUGGGCGUAAAGCGCGCGCAGGCGGUCCUUUAAGUCUGAUGUGAAAGCCCACGGCUCAACCGUGGAGGGUCAUUGGAAACUGGGGGACUUGAGUGCAGAAGAGGAAAGCGGAAUUCCACGUGUAGCGGUGAAAUGCGUAGAGAUGUGGAGGAACACCAGUGGCGAAGGCGGCUUUCUGGUCUGUAACUGACGCUGAGGCGCGAAAGCGUGGGGAGCGAUCCGG
rnacentral:rRNA from 1 species